rnacentral:lncRNA from 1 species
UGACCUUAACCCUGACAUAGAAAGAGAAGCAACAUCACUGUGAAAGGCUGUUGCUGGCUGGCUGUGUGAGAGGGAGCAGUUUUCUGAGUGUGGGGCUGUGUCCCAUUGGCCUCUCCUGUGUCAUAACACUUCCAGUCUCUCCAAGUUGACCUGGAUCCUCUGAAGCCAAAGAAAGGCCUGUGGAUACUGAAAACAAAACAAUGAAAGAACAAGACCUCUGAUAGAUUUCAUGGGCUUCUUGGAGGACCAACGUCAGUCAAUGGAAGUGUGAUGACUUAUCAGAGGCUUCCUUGGUUGCAGUACAGAAGAUGCAAUGCCAGCAGUGCUUUUUCAGGAGCUCCCUCUGAAGAAGAUCAUGGCUCAGUUACCAUGGACACCAAGAAGCUAUGCAGCUUUUUAUUCUUUUUACUUCCUUCAUUAUGUGCCCUCCCAGGAAAUAUAUUUUCAUUAGUAACUAGGUUUUGAAACUUUUGCCAAGACACCAGCCUAACCUAUUGCUCUCUAAACAAAUACCUUCAGUAUCUAAUACAUAGGUAUAUGCCAGUCUGAGCCAACUGUGCUAUUAGGAAACUAAUAAAUACUCCUUUGCUUCCUAUUUAAUGAGAAAAAGCACGACAAUAUUGCUCAUGCCAGAUCAGGUUUUGAUUGGUAUGUGCUUAUCCUUCAUAAACAAAUGUAUUUUAUAUGAAAAACCACAGGGGAAAUAUUUUUAUUUAUUUUAUUAGUUGUACAAAAGCCAUGUUGGCAACUGAAGAACCAAUAAAAUAAAAUUGUCUCAUGUGGUUCUUAUUAUGGAAUCAAAUAGUAAUGUAAAAGGCAAGCACACACCAAUCAUAAUUCCAUCUGGCUGAAAGAACAGGAAAAUGUGGCUCCAUUUUCAUUAGGAAAAGGAGGCAUAUAUUUCAUAAUGUGUUCAAAUGUGGCUCUAAAGGUACUCCCAGUACACUACUGCAUUUUGUACCACUCAUGGGGUGCCAUAUCUACUGAUGCAGGUUAAUGUAAUCAAAGUGACUUGAAAGGAGAGGACUGCUGUUAGCCUUGCAUCUGCAUUAAUAGAGCACCAACAGAAGCUAGAGCAACAUUUCUUGGCAUUCUGGAAAGAAAUGCAUGUUGAACCAGUAAGCAAUAUGUAUAGCCCUUGCAAUAUACACUUGGCAUAUUUGCAGCAAGUAAGUUGCCAUUCAUGUAACCACCAAAAAUACAUUCCAGAAUGUUUACUCUUUUCAGUAAGCAGAUAAUACCAUUCAAGCUCUGGACUUAAAAGAUUGCAUGCAUAAAUAUUUUCUAAAUUCCUUUAGUGCUGUUUUUGGUUUAUCUUCAAGGAAAUAUAAGGGUAGCUAUUAUCAAUAGAAGGUAGGUAUUCAUUUGUAAGAGGUUGGGUCAGCAAGACACUGCUCUAUUGAAUCAUAUCUGGGACAACAUGGAGUGGUCAUUUGGGCCUCUGGGAAGUGUGGCAUGGAAGAGUAGUUCUUUAUUAAGAACAAGAAAGUAGCUAGCCCUGAGAAUAAAGGUUGAUUUGCUUUGCUGAAACUGGUUUUCCAGCCUCUGUUGGUGAUUUGUUUUUGAAGUCUUGCUUUUUUUUCUUUCUCUUAAUCUGCUUGUGAGUAGAUGACUAAGUGAUCACGUCACCUAGAAAUAUGUGUGAGUCUCCUGAUUUUUGACUCAUGUGUGCCAC